ACUUUUAAUGGAAAACAGGCAUCCGCUGGUUUUAGGAACCAAAACUCUUGGUGCA
rnacentral:tRNA from 1 species